AUGGGUACCGGGACCCUUCGGGAAGAUCCACGUCUUCAUCAGCGUAAUCGACGAUUCUGGUCCCGAGCCGGACAUCUUCAUCGACAACGUCGAGCCAGACCCGGCCGGGCCCAAGCCGGUCGGGCGCACGAUUUCGUCGGCUUCACUCGGGGAGUCGAUCUCGCGGGAAAUUCUGCAUCUGGCGGUGACACUCUCGUCUACUCUGACGGCGAGUCUUCGGUUGGUGACACUGAGUCGAUUCUCCCGCUUUUCGAUGACAGGCUGGGGCUAGUCCGACAACGAGAUCGGUCCAGAGGUCGUCGAGCCGUUGCGUCGCACAGCGGUCUACAUGACAGGAAACCAAAACCCGAUUGGAAUCGGGGUGGCUCAAAACUCCACGAUGGCCGGUGCGACUUGUACCUCGGCGCCGUCUCUUGA
rnacentral:rRNA from 1 species